AUGUAACCCAACGACUGGGUUUGUCCAUAUUUGACCCAAAUUUGGGUUGAAACAACUCAGCAUUUUUUUUAGAAUGUAGUGUUGGCCCUGAUGCGGGCCAGAACCAGGUCAGACGUGGGCUAAAUGUGGGUCAGAUGUGGGAUAGAUGUGGGCUAGAUAUGGGCUAGAUGUGUGCUAGUUGUGGGCUAGAUGUGGGUCAGAUAUGGGCUAAAUGUGGGUCGGAUGUGGGCCAGAUCCGGGUUAGAUGUGGGCCAGAUCCGGGUCAUAUGUGGGCUAGAUGUGGGCUAAAUGUGGGUCAGAUGUGGGCUAGAUGUGGGCCAGAUCCGGGUCAUAUGUGGGCCGGGUCAGAUGUAGGUUAGAUGUUGGCCAGAUCCGGGUCAGAUGUUGGCCAGAUCCGGGUCAUAUGUGGGCCGGAUCCGGGUCAGAUGUAGGUUAGAUGUUGGCCAGAUCCGGGUCAGAUGUUGGCCAGAUCCGGGUCAUAUGUGGGCCGGAUCCGGGUCAGAUGUAGGUUAGAUGUUGGCCAGAUCCGGGUCAGAUGUUGGCCAGAUCCGGGUCAUAUGUGGGCCGGAUCCGGGUCAGAUGUAGGUUAGAUGUUGGCCAGAUCCGGGUCAGAUGUUGGCCAGAUCCAGGCUAGAUGUGGGCCGGAUCCGGGUCAGAUGUAGGUUAGAUGUGGGCCAGAUCCGGGUCAGAUGUGGGUCAGAUGUGGGCUAGAUGUGGGCCAGAUACUGGCUUUCUGUACAACGGAAGUGUGCGGUGAUUCAUCCUGCCAAAUAUAGUGCACGAGUUUAUGAUACUAAUGUGCUGAUUUUGUUUGUCCUUUUUGGUAUUUGGCUUAUAAAUCACUCUCCACUUUCUCUGUGCGGUAAAAACAUAAUCUGUUGUGUUUCAUGGGAGAACAGAAAUAAUACAUGGCAAAAACAAGAGGGUGAGUAAACCUGUAACUAUUGUAGGAAUAAUUCACCAAAUUGAUAAAAAUCAGUUUAAUUCUCCCAAAAAGAAAUGCAUUAAAGUUGUUGAAUGUGGUCACGAUCAAACUCUCUUUAUCAAUGCUCAUUUUAUAUCCGUUGUGAAGUGAAAUCGGUGGUGGAUCACUGUUUUGGAUCACCAAGAUCCCAUCAUGACGUUUCCAGAUCACAAAACACACCUCACAUACUUAGAAACACAUGAGAAGCUCAAGACCGUAAUGUAUAAUUUUGCGUUGUUUGAUGUACAGCUGAUUUCGGUCUGUACCAUCUCAUACGUGUCCAUCUCACUUUUUUUCCCCUUGAAUGUUCAUUACACAUUUAUUUUUUUGCAUUGUAUGUAGUAAAUGACAUGUUUUGGAAAAAAAAUCACAAAUAAACAGCUGUAUAUACUGAUGCAUAA